rnacentral:rRNA from 1 species
GCGAAGCUGAUGCAGCAACGCCGCGUGAGUGAUGACGGUCUUCGGAUUGUAAAGCUCUGUCUUUUGGGACGAUAAUGACGGUACCAAAGGAGGAAGCCACGGCUAACUACGUGCCAGCAGCCGCGGUAAUAA